GAACACGCGGUAAAAAACAGACAUGUCUUACAGCAGUCCGCCUUAUCUUUAUCUCUGUUUUACUGUUUUGAUGAAUGUUCGGAUGUUUUUCUACAGCGCCCAGUGAGGACUAGAUGACCAGGCACCGGGGUUCCGCAGACUGUUCUCUCACUUGGUACCCAGCUAUGUGAUACCCGGAAGCCCUGCCAGAGCUCCAUCGGACAAUGUACUCUCACAACGAAAGUCUCCUUAAAGAAGGCGUCUCAUCUUCUAUCAAAUAGCCAAUAGCAAGGAUGCAGCCAGUCAUUUUGGACCCCAUGAAAAAAAAAAGACUGGGUGCGAGGCUGGGUACACACUGGACUGGUCACCAACCAAUAACAAAAAGAGACAAAUAACUAUUCACACUAAUGGACAAUAGUCUCCAAUGAACCUAACAUGCAUGUUCUUCGAGUGUGGGAAGAAGCCUGAGUGCCUGGAUAAAACAUGCAAACUCCACACGGAAAUGCCCAAACAGAGAUUCAAACCCUCAAUCGUCUGACUGCGAUCCACUUGUCCACCCUGCGACCCAAUCUGAAAUAAAAUUCUUAAAGCACUCAUUAAAUAGGAGAAUGAUUCAUCACUUGACUCUUGUAUUUUGGACUGAACCUGUUUGCUCUUUUAA